rnacentral:miRNA from 10 species
GGGCUGGAGCGGCUGCAAAGCA